rnacentral:lncRNA from 1 species
CACCUGCUUGGCCCCGCCCCGUCUGCAUCUCCCCUGCUUGCUCCUGCCCUGCCCUCACCCACCUGCUUGGCCCCCACUUCUGAUGCCCGCCUGCUCUGCCUGGCCCGGAGGAGGACCCCAGCUGCGCCAGGGAGGAAGGGCAGGGUCAGAGGCCCACAGUGGGAGGAGCCUCAGAAGUCACCAAGAAUGCAUGAGGAAUGGGGAAGCUGAGGCUGACCAAGGGAAGGGUGUGUGGCUGCUGUGAGAUCAGCAUCUGCGGGCCAGGGCUGGGCUGCUAGAACAGCCAGGCCACCACAGGCUUCCUGGCCAACAUCCUCCUUCAGGCCGGCUGUGGUGGCUCAUGCCUGUAAUCCAGUGCUGUGGGAGGCCGAGGUGGGAGGAUUGCUCAAGUCCAAGUGUUUGAGGCCAGUCUGGGCAGCAUAGUGAGACCACAUCUCUACAAAAAUCUGCUGUCUGAUCGCCAAGCACCCUCUGCGGGGAGCAGGGUAGGGGGACGUCUUCCUGCAGCUGUGGAAGCUCCAGGACAGGACAGCAGGGGAGAGGGCGUGGGCCUUGCCUCAUGGCGGCAUUGCUAUGGGCAGGUCAUUUGGCCUCGCUGGCCCCUACGGCCUCUACCUCUGUUCACAUCUUGUGAUGGGGUCAAGGUUGCCCUCCCAGAGUAGAAGGACAGGCAAAAGGUGAUGCUGCAAGGAUGGUGCCGAGACAGCAGUGGCACGCUGCAGGCGCUGCCCGGGCCAGGGAACUUAAUGGAGUGGGGACGGACGUGCGGCUCCACUGGUUCCCGGACUCCUGGUCUCCACUGCUGGGCACUCAGGAUCUGCCCGGAGGCCUUGGACACAGGCACCACUGGCAGAGCUUGCCCAUGGCCCUGCUGCCCCACUGCAUGGCUUCGGGCUGCCCCCCGAGGGGUCAGACCUGACGCCCCCACCAUCAGCUUUCCUGUCUGAGGGGCUCCGGGCUGCUUCCCUCCCACCUGGGGCUAGACUGUGUGUGGUUCAGAGGGAGAUGCUGGGUUGGGGGCGCCCACCACACUGGCAUGGGGACCCUGGGCCAGCGGGCCCUACUCUGGGUGGUGGUUUCUCCCCUCUAA